rnacentral:rRNA from 1 species
GACGAACCGUGCGAACGUUAUUCGGAAUCACUGGGCUUAAAGCGCGUGUAGGCGGGCCGCCACGUCGGCUGCUGAAAUCCCCCGGCUCAACCGGGGAACGGGCACCGAUACGAGCGGCCUCGAGGGGGGUAGGGGGGUCUGGAACUUCCGGUGGAGCGGUGAAAUGCGUUGAAAUCGGAAGGAACGCCCGUGGCGAAAGCGAGGCCCUGGACCCUUACUGACGCUGAGACGCGAAAGCCAGGGGAGCGAACGGG